CGUUUGCCCAUCAGUUUGUGGAUGAUGGGACGUACUAAAAAGUAACUUAGUACCAACUUUCCUCCACAAAGUGUUCCAAAUGUAACUCAAAAACAAGGAAUCCCUAUCAGAAACAAUAGUUUUACGAAUAAUAUGCAAGCGAACCACUUCUUUAAAGUACAAAUCAGAGACAUUAGAUGAAUCAUUGGUUUUAUGACAUGGCAUAAAGUGAGCCAUUUUUGAAAACCUAUCCACCACCACUAUAAUGGAUUCCUUCCCCCUUUGAGUUCUAGGCAAAGCCAUACUGAAUUCUAUUGACACAUCUUGCCAAGGAUGAAUAGGAAACGACAAAGGAGUGUAAACACCAUGCUUGAAAGUUUUUUUUGUCAUCCGAUAUGUAACACACUUGCCCACUAUGUUGGUUACAUCCCUAACAUCUUUAGGCCAUAAGAAAUGUUCUUAAAGCACCUUCAAAGUUUUGGUAAUGGAAAAAUGACCCGCCAAACCACCACCAUGAGCUUCACGAAUCAGCAACUCCCGUAUUGCAUGUUUAGGGACACAAAGGUGAUUGCCUUUUGAUGCCUUUAUGGGCUAGAUUAAGUGAGUGGGGCUGUGUUUAGGUAAAUGAAGCUAGAAUAAAAACCACAAAUGACAGGUGUAUGGGAAGAAAUGGAUAAACUAGUAACAAAUCAAGACCUACUAAGUUGUAUACCCGUGAAAACUAUCCAAGACAUAAUAUUUGUUUGAAUGCAUAUCAAGUCAAGAACAGGUCUCGACUAUGACAAGUAGUGAACUAUAACUAUAAUUCAAAGUGAACAAAGGUUCUUUUGAUUAAAAUUUCAUCUAUCUCUUUUUUCCAUGCAUAAUUGGCUUAUAUGAAGCCUUUAUUACAAAGUUGUUGGUUACAAACCACCCAACCAACUACUCAGUAAAACUAAUAAUGGAAAUUAAAGAAACUCAUGAAACCACACAAAAAAACGUCUGACACACCAAUGAAUGAAAAAAGCGUUCGUGCUCCAUUAAGGAGCAAAAAGAAGCAUUAAAAUGUAACCCAAAUCCACCGAAGAGUAUCAACAAUGGCUAAAAGGCUUGAUGAAGCCAAAAGUAAUGGUUUUGAGAACUUAUUAAGCCUUUAAAAUGUUGCCCUAGCCUUCAUGCGACCCUAAUUCAAUACAGAGGUUACCAUGCACAACCCAACCAUUGAGUACAAACCACCUUCUAGCCUACUAGUAAUCACUAAUCCAUCACCUUUUUCGGCUUUUCAUGAGCCAUGCAUGGAUCCACCCCUCCCUCUUUGAAAGGAAAUGACCUUAAUUCAUCAAGGCCAUCCUCAACAAGAUACAUGAAAGGUCUCCCACAUUAAAGGUAGCAUGCACUCCAUGGUCUCGUCCCAGAUACACCUUAUAAGCAUUAUCAUUGACAUGUGUCACCACUUUGUAAGGACCUUCAGCUCUUGGCAUCAACUUUUGUUCUUCCUUUUGUUAGGAAAAUAUUCUUUCCUCAUAUGCACCUAAACCAAGUCACCAUCUUGUAAGACACGUGGUUUCAUAUGCAUGUUGGAAUUCUGUUUGUACAUGUCAUUCACAGCUUCCAUCUUCACACAAACUUGUUGGUGUAGUUACAUCAUGGCCUUCAAAUUGUCAUUUGCAUCCUUGUGAACCAAUUCAUCAUUUGGAAAUGGAAUCAAAUACAAAGGCUUGUAAGGAUUCACACCAUACACCACUUACGAAGGCUUAUAAGGACCUUUAGCUCUUGGCAUCAACUUGUUCUUCCUUUUGUUUGGAAAACGUUCUUUCCUCAUAUGCACCUAAACCAAGUCACCAACUUGAAAGACACGUGGUUUCCUAUACAUGUUAGAAUUUUGUGUGUACAUGUCAUUCACGGAUUCAAUCUUCACACGAGCUUGUUGGUAUAGUUUCGUCAUGGCCUUCUACUUGUCAUUAGCAUCCUUGUGAACCAAUUCAUCAUUUGGAAAUGGAAUCAAAUACAAAGGCUUGUAAGGAUUCACACCAUAAACCACUUACAAAGGCUUGUAAGGACCUUCAGCUCUUGGCAUCAACUUUUGUUCUUCCUUUUGUUAGGAAAACGUUCUUUCCUCAUAUGCACCUAAACCAAGUCACCAUCUUGUAAGACACGUAGUUUCCAAUGCAUGUUGGAAUUCCGUUUGUACACGUCAUUCACGGAAUCAAUCUUCACACAAACUUGUUGGUGUAGUUUCAUCAUUGCCUUCAACUUGUCAUUAGCAUCCUUGUGAACCAAUUCAUCGUUUGGAAACGGAAUAAAAUACAAAGGAUUUUAAGGAUUCACACCAUACACCACAUACAAAGGCUUGUAAGCACCUUCAGCUCUUGGCAUUAACUUUAGUUCUUCCUUUUUUAAGUAAACGUUCUUUCCUCAUAUGCACCUAAACCAAGUCACCAUCUUGAAAGACACAUGGUUUCCUAUGCAUGUUGGAAUUCUGUUUGUACACGUCAUUCACGGCUUCAAUCUUCACACGAGCUUGUUGGUGUAGUUUCGUCAUGGCCUUCAACUUGUCAUUAGCAUCCUUGUGAACCAAUUCAUCGUUUGGAAAUGGAAUAAUAUACAAAGGCUCGUAUGGAUUCACACCAUACACCACUUACAAAGGCUUGUAAGGACCUUCAGCUCUUGGCAUCAACUCUUGUUCUUCCUUUUGUUAGGAAAAUGUUCUUUCCUCAUAUGCACCUAAACCAAGUCACCAUCUUGAAAGACAUGUGGUUUCUUAUGCAUGUUGGAAUUCUAUUUGUACACGUCAUUCAUGGCUUCAAUCUUCACAAGAACUUGUUGGUGUAGUUUCAUCAUGGCCUUUAACUUGUCAUUAGCAUCCCUGUGAACCAAUUUAUCAUUUGGAAUAGAAUCAAAUAUAAAGGCUUGUAAGGAUUCACACCAUACAUCACUUAUAAAGGACAGUGACCUGUAGCAUAAGUAGGAGAACGAUUACAGGCAAACUCAGCAUGUGCAAGUUUGAUGUCCAACUGUUUUUGAGUUUUGCUAACCAACCCCCUCAACAACAUACCCAAAGUUCUAUUAGUCACCUUUGUUUGCCCAUCAAUUUGUGGAUGAUGGGACGUACUAAAAAGUAACUUAGUACCAACUUUCCUCCACAAAGUGUUCCAAAUGUAACUCAAAAACAAGGAAUCCCUAUCAGAAACAAUAGUUUUACGAAUAAUAUGCAAGCGAACCACUUCUUUAAAGUACAAAUCAGACACAUUAGAUGAAUCAUUGGUUUUAUGACAUGGCAUAAAGUGAGCCAUUUUUGAAAACCUAUCCACCACCACUAUAAUGGAUUCCUUCCCCCUUUGAGUUAUAGGAAAAGACAUACUGAAUUCCAUUGACACCUUUUGCCAAGGACGAAUAGGAACCGACAAAGGAGUGUAAACUCCAUGCUUGAAAGUUCUUUUCGUCAUCCGACAUGUAACCCACUUGCCCACUAUGUUGGUUACAUCCCUAACAUCUUUAGGCCAGAAGAAAUAUUCUUAAAGCAUGUUCAAAGGUUUGAUAAUGGAAAAAUGACCCGCCAAACCACAACCAUGAGCUUCACGAAUCAGCAACUCCCGUAUUGCAUGUUUAGGGACACAAAGGUCAUUGCCUUUUGAUGCCUUUAUGGGCUUGAUUAAGUGAAUGGGGUUGUUUUAGGUAAUUUAAGCUAGAAUAACAACCACAAAUGAUAGGUGUAUGGGAAGAAAUGGAUAGAUUAAUAACAAAUCAAGACCUACUAAGUUUUAUACCGGUGAACACAAUCCAAGACAUAUUAGAUUGAAUGCGUAUCAAUCAAGAACACGUCUCGACUAUGACAAAUAGUGAGCUAUAACUAUAAUUCAAAGUGAAACAAGGUUCUUUUGAUUAAAAUUGCAUCUAUCUGUUUUUUCCAUGCAUAAACUUCGCUUAUAUGAAGCCUUUAUUACAAAGUUGGUGGUUACAAGCCUCCCAACCAACUACUCAGUAAAAUUAAUAAUGAAAAUUAAAGAAACUCAUGAAACCACACGAAAAAACGUCUGACACACUAAUGAAUGAAAAAAGUGUCCAUGCUCCAUUAAGGAGCAAAAAAAGCAUUAAAGUGUAAUCCAAAUCCACCAAAGAGUAUCAACAAUGGCUAGAAGGCUUGAUGAAGGAAAAAGUAAAAGUUUUGNCACUGAUUAAGCCUUUAAAAUGUUGCCCUAGCCUUCAUGCGACCCUAAUUUAAUACGUAGGUUACCAUGCACAACCCAACCAUUGAGUACAAACCACCUUCUAGCCUACUAGUAAUCACUAAUCCAUCACCUUUUUCGGCUUUUCAUGAGCCAUGCAUGGAUCCUCCCCUCCCUCUUUGAAAGGAAAUGACCUUAAUUCAUCAAGGCCAUCCUCAACAAGAUACGGUGAAAGGUCUCCCACAUUAAAGGUAGCAUGCACUCCAUGGUCUCGUCCCAGAUCAACCUUAUAAGUAUUAUCAUUGACAUGUGUCACCACUUUGUAAGGACCUUCAGCUCUUGGCAUCAACUUUUGUUCUUCCUUUUGUUAGCAAAACGUUCUUUCCUCAUAUGCGCCUAAACCACGUCACCAUCUUGUAAGACACGUGGUUUCCUAUGCAUGUUGGAAUUAUGUUUGUACACGUCAUACACAGCUUCAAUCUUCACACAAACUUGUUGGUGUAGUUACAUCAUGGCCUUCAAAUUGUCAUUUGCAUCCUUGUGAACCAAUUCACCAUUUGGAAAUGGAAUGAAAUACAAAGGCUUGUAAGGAUUCACACCAUACACCACUUACGUAGGCUUAUAAGGACCUUCAGCUUUUGGCAUCAACUUUUGUUUGGAAAACGUUCUUUCCUCAUAUGCACCAACACCAAAUCACCAUCUUGAAAGACACGAGGUUUCCUAUACAUGUUGGAAUUCUGUUUGUACACGUCAAUCACGGCUUCAAUCUUCACACUAGCUUGUUGGUGUAGUUUCGUCAUGGCCUUCAACUUGUCAUUAGCAUCCUUGUGAACCAAUUCAUCGUUUGGAAAUGGAAUAAUAUACAAAGGCUCGUAAGGAUUCACACCAUACACCACUUACAAAGGCUUGUAAGGACCUUCAGCUCUUGGCAUCAACUCUUGUUCAAAGUGAACAAAGGUUAGUUUGAUUAAAAUUUCAUCUAUCUCUUUUUUCCAUGCAUAAUUGGCUUAUAUGAAGCCUUUAUAACAAAGUUGGUGGUUACUAGCCACCCAACCAACUACUCAGUAAAACUAAUAAUGGAAAUUAAAGAAACUCAUGAAACCACACAAAAAAACGUCUGACACACUGAUGAAUGAAAAAAGUGUCCAUGCUCCAUUAAGGAGCAAAAAGAAGCAUUAAAGUGUAAUCCAAAUCCACCAAAGAGUAUCAACAAUGGCUAGAAGGCUUGACGAAGCAAAAAGUAACAGUUUUGAGCACUUAUUAAGCCUUUAAAAUGUUGCCCUAGCCUUCAUGCGACCCUAAUUUAAUACGUAGGUUACCAUGCACAACCCAACCAUUGAGUACAAACCACCUUCUGGCCUACUAGUAAUCACUAAUCCAUCACAUUUUUCGGCUUUUCAUGAGCCAUGCAUGGAUCCUCCCCUCCCUCUUUGAAAGGAAAUGACCUUAAUUCAUCAAGGCCAUCCUCAACANGUCUGGGGGUGACUGUGGUGUUCAACAUGCCUAAAACUUACCCAAUCCCCAAACAACGAGCCAUCGUCGUAACAAAGCGUGAAAUACUAUGGGAGUAUUUCUAGAUCCAACUUGGUUGUAGAAAACCCUCAUUCAAGUGUUGCCUCUUGAUUAUUCUUUUAGUAAUAAUAUAUCUGUCUUGAUUAUUUAUUCCUACUUUAUUGCUUAAUAGAAUUCUAUGUCUGUCAUAAAGAGAUAUCCCUUGUUUCAUAUCUCCUGAUUUAAUUCAGAGGAUUUACUAUCCUCUUUUCCUAAUCAUUUUAGAUCGAAAUGUCUCCAAAGAAAGGACCCAGCUCAAAGAACAACAACCCUCCGUCACCACCUCCUUCUCAAUUCGACCCUGUGAUGUUCCAGUUAGCUGUUUCUGCCGCAGUGACGGCNCCAUAGUGACAUAUUUGUUCUCUAACAGGUUCAGUGGACCAGGAAGUAACACCAACCCCUAAAACCAUGAAAAUGUUCAGGAGCAUCAGAAUGAGCGUAAUGAGAGUAAUAAGGUUAUCUGGAAAAAGUGAAAGGGUCAGAGUUCACAAAGACCCUCCAAGAGGCAUGAAACUAUGGCAAUUCAAGCUGCCACUACUCCUGUUGCUGUGUCUACAGUUCAAGCGCUUACCACUAGGUAUGCGGGUAACCUCCCUUGGUGCAACAAGUGCAAAUAUCACCAUUAUACCCCUGGCCCAUGCCUCGAGAUAAUCUGCAAAAGAUGUGGCAAAAAAGGCCACACCGCUCGAAACUGCAAAAGACCAGCCCAACUAGUCAAUCGAGCUUCCGGAUCAAGUACCGAACAGGCCUACUUUAAGUGCGGUGAAAUCGGGCAUUUCAAGCGAAACUGCCCAAAAACAGCAACCACCAACCACGCCAACAACGUUGGGAUAGCUCUGGCUAUAAAGUCGGAAGAGGCAACCGCUGAUUCCACCUCCGUCGCGGGUACGUUUCUUCUCGACAAUUCUUAUGCCUGCAUCCUUUUAGAACCUAGUGUCACGGAAGUUUUAUUAGUCAUUAUUCUAGUAUCUUCGUAAACAUAGUCCUCGUCUAAUAACCGAAACAUUUACCGUCGAGAUGGUUAAGGUGAGAAUGAGUGCACUAACGAAUUAUUCCUAAACUGUACCCUUACCUUGCGUAAUCAUUCUUUCCUCGUUAACCUAAUGUCAGUUUCAAUAAAGAACUUUGAUGUUAUCAUUGGCAUGUAUCGGUUGAAUCCCAAUCAUGCUGAUACCCUUAGUAUUGAAAAGGCCAUCUGUCCCGAUUUCCUCUCUGGUCAAACCCUCAUGAUCUACAACAAUAAAUUCAGUUCCAACCUUCAUAUCAUUUCGUGCAUCUAAAAAUCAAAAGGUUUUCCCGAAAGGAAUGUCAUGUAUUCCCAGACUAUGAAACCAACGAGAAACAGAACGUCAAAAACCUUGAAAGCAUCCCCAAAGUCUGCAAUUUUCUUGAUGUCUUUUCCGAAGAGCUCACAGGAAUUCCCUUCAGACAUCAAGUAGAGUUUUGCAUCGACCCAAUUCCCGGAGCAAACCCUAUAUAACCAAAUCCCAGCAUCGAUAGGCUCCAGCAGAAAUGCAGAAGUUACCCAGUUAGCUUCGAGUUCACGAGAGUGAUGUUUCCAAAACAGCAUUCAGAAUUCGAUAUAGUCACUACAAAGAUGUAGUGAUACCCUUCGGUCUAACCAUUUUCUUUGGCCAUGUAGUAAUCGAAGAAAGCAUGUUACAUUCUGAAAACUCGUAUCCCAAGGUGCAUAGAACUUUUCGAAAUCCUCAUUAGGAUCGAUCCUGUAGCAUACAAACUCCGACUACCCUCAGAACUUAGUAGUAUCCAUCCUGUCUUCCUCGUCUCAAAUCUUCAGAAGUGCCUGCCCAACGAAACCCUAGUAAUUCCGAAAUCAACGAAAGUCUGAACCUCCAUGGAAGAACAAAUUGAGAACAUAGAUCAAGAGGUUAAACGUAUGAAACAAGACAUAUCCCGAUAAGUGAACGGUACCCCGAAAUGCCAUGUGAGAAUCCGAAUUCACUUGGAAGCGUGAUGAUCCCAUAGGACAGAAGUAUCCGUAUUCUCUUUUCAAAUCUGCGAGUCGCAUCUAAAGUAUGAAUUUCGGGACGAAAUUCCCUCUAACGGGGGGAUAAUGUGACAACUCGAAGUUCGUUCCGUCAUCAUAACCCGGUUCCAUUAGUAAAGUCGUCAUGUUCCAAAAUUUUCCGUUAACUUUGUUUUAAUUUAAUUUAUUUGCAACUUCUAUUUAAAGUUCAUAAGUUUUGGGAUACAUUUUAAUUCAUUAAAAUAUUUUCUAUUUUCAUUUAGAAAAUAUUUAGUUUCAUCUAAGUCAUAAUUACGGUAAAUUAAUCGGGUGCAACCAAAAGCCCCACUUAUCAGUAGUAUCGGGUAGAAUUCCACCAUAUCCUAAACCUUGAACAUAUAUAAAGUUGAGAGAGCCUCAUUUGAAGCCUUUCCACUCUCUCUACUCUCUCUCUACUUUCUCUCUCUAGAAAUCGAAAUCAAGCCAAAAAUCAUCCAAAACAAGCUCCAAAUCAUCAAGGUAACUAUCCUAACUCCUAGUAUAACCCCUUUGUCCUUCAAAUUCGUGGAUUAUAUGAGGAAUAGAACCAUAAACAUGUGUUUACGGUCCUGGAACCUCCUUAGGCCGUGAACACAUGUAUUAAGGGGUUUUGAGCCUUAAAACCCUUCCAAACCUCAUUUGGAGCUUAGAUAUGACUAAGGGACUUAUUUGCAUGGACUUAGAACACCUUGAACUCNNNNNNNNNNNNNNNNNNNNUUGAGCCUUAAAACCCUCCCAAACCUCAUUUGGAGCCUAGAUAUGACCUAAGGACUUGCAUACAUGGAUUUAGAACACCUUAAACUCUUCAUUUAGGGCAUGAACAUGAGUUUACGGCCCAAGCACAUACUUGGACCGUAAACACCUAUUCUUGGGGAGUAAACUCAAUUUAAGGUGUUAGUUUGCCCCUAAACACCUCCAACAAGCUUCCAUGAGAGUAUAGAACCCAAUAAUCCUUCAAGAAAUGCACCAAAACUUACACAAAUGGGACAAACUUGAGCUUACGGUCCAAGAACAUUAUUAGACCGUAAACUCAUCUCCUUAGACCUUAAACUCAUCCAAUGGGUGUUAAAGUGCCCUUAACACCUUGUAUGGUUUAGAAAUGGGUCUAGAUCUUAGUAUGCUUAACUUUCAACCACUAAAACUCAUGAAUCAUGGACAAACAUGAGUUUAAGGUAGUAAACUCGUGUUUAAGGUAGUAAACUUCCGAAGAACAUCUUCAUAGACCGUAAACUCUUAUCCAAGGUCAUUUAGAGUCCCAAUCACUUCCUAAGCCAUGGAAUCAACCCUAGAACCUUUCCGUGUGCAUUGUAUGACCAUUUGGCAUCCAAGAACCCACCACCCAUGAGUUUACGGCCGUAAACUCAUGGGGAUAUGGUCAAUGGACCGUGAACUCCUCAAGGAGUUUACUCUUCAAGAGUAAACUCCAUAUCUAGGUCCUACACAUCCAUAGAUGCCCCCGGGUGACUCCGAACACUUGAAUUGAAGUUUUUCACGCCUCAAAGUGUAUAAUCAUAUCUAAUUAGUGAUUUAAAGUCUAAUUAGAUACAUUUGUAUCUCAUUUCAUAUUUCAUAGGAUCCUCGCGCGUUAUCAAGCCCUGAUCCGACACAUAGCAUCCUAGACAACACGUUCUUCGACUGGUGAGUUCAUACCCCUACCCUUUUUCCGUGUUUUCAAUGUUUUCAGGGUGAAUACAAGCAAACUAUAAAUGUUUUCAAAACCUAAAACUGAUGUGUUUCUAUAAAUAUUUGGCUAACUUUUAGAUAUCUUUACCCGUUUAUGUAUUAAGCUGAGCAUAAAGGAUGUUUUAUCGAUUAUAACUACAUGGAUUUCAGUAAAGGAAACAAUCAAAUCAAUCAAAUUAUUAUGGGAAUAAUUUGGGAUCUUUAGUUCCUAUUUAACAAGCAAAGAUUUAUGUAAAGUUAUUAGAUAAACUAUGUCUGAUUCAGUUUAUCUCUAUUUAAUUUAGAAUAUAUUGCCAGAUAAUUCCAUUGUGUUUAACUGUUUUCACUGUAUAUUGUUUCUAUAUGAUUAGUAUGUUGAUAACGUCUGAGAACACCGUGAAUAAAUUAAAUACUAGCUUGUGAGAUUCGUCAAUACCCUUUGGGUUAUCAGUAAAUCCUCCCCAGAAGUGUAACCAGAGUCUCCUGGAGGGAGAGCGUGGAAUUUGUGAAUAGAUCUAUUCGGGACUGACAAUCCUACACCUAAACUGCUAGCUACAGUUAGGCGGGCACGCCUGGGGUGACAAAUUCUGGAUAUCAUCCGACGUCUGACGAACGUCAAGGAGGUCUCGGUGUCGCAUCAGCAUGGUUACCCGACUGACAAUACNNNNNNNNNNNNNNNNNNNNNNNNNNNNNNNNNNNNNNNNNNNNNNNNNNNNNNNNNNNNNNNNNNNNNNNNNNNNNNNNNNNNNNNNNNNNNNNNNNNNNNNNNNNNNNNNNNNNNNNNNNNNNNNNNNNNNNNNNNNNNNNNNNNNNNNNNNNNNNNNNNNNNNNNNNNNNNNNNNNNNNNNNNNNNNNNNNNNNNNNNNNNNNNNNNNNNNNNNNNNNNNNNNNNNNNNNNNNNNNNNNNNNNNNNNNNNNNNNNNNNNNNNUACUAAAAAGUAAAUUAGUAAGAACUUUUCUCUACAAAGUGUUCCAAAAGUAACUCAAAAGCAUGUAAUCCCUAUCAGAAACAAUAGUUUUAGGAAUAUUAUGCAAGCGAACCACCUCUUUAAAGUACAAAUCAGACAGAUUAGAUGCAUCAUUGGUUUUAUGAUAUGGCACAAAGUGAGCCAUUUUUGAAAACCUAUCCACCAGCACUAAAAUGGAAUCAUUUCCCCUUUCAGUUCUAGGCAAAACAAUACUUCCUCAUUGGUAGGUCUAUAAUUACAGAGUGUAUACUUACAAGGUUUUAUAUAUUAAAGAUCUUAUAGACUCAGAAUGUGUGGUUUCGCUUUACUUCCUUUUCCUUGUUUGGAUGUGGAUAUAGAGUAGUAUCAUAUAUUUGAAGGUCUAUUAAAUCCGAUACAUAUAUAAUUUGUAUGCACUAUGUAAUUCUAGAAGGACCCAAUAAGGAUCACUAUUUAAAAAUGUUUAAUUAACUUUUUAAGACUCUUUAGACAUUUCCGUUCUCGUAUAAACCAUUUGGAUAGAUGUGGUCACUUCAGCAAUCAGCAGAGAAGUCAACAAGGACUCAGAAGAGAUUCAUUGGGAGGAUUUCCGAGUAGGAAACCGAUGAACACUAAAGAAACAAUAGAAAUCACCCUGUGCCUUUACCUUAUUAGGGACAUUGGUGAGAAGUUCGCCUGAACUUCCAAGAUUCAAACUUUCCCUUAUGAAGUAAUGGGGAUCAGUGUCGGAAUCGGAAGUAAGACGGCAUGGAAAUUCAAUAUACUUACGAAGGAGAAGGACACUGCAUAGGUUCCAGGAGGGAUCCCAGAGUAGCACAAAGAACUGAGGGAAGCCACGCAUGAAACGUGGGAAGUGUUUGUAUACCCAAUGUGUCACCUUAACAAAUUAAUAAAUUAAUACAACCUGGUGAGUUAGUGAUUACACUACUUACAUUGUGUGUUAGGCUUAUCGCCUUUUUCCGUAAUGGAAAAUAUCAUUAAAUCGGAUCACGAAAUCUCAUUUGAGAGUGAUUAUUUCUAAAAAUUCAUAAGUCUUUCCUAUGUAGUCUCCGUUCUAAAUUGCUUCCAAAUCUUUUCCUAGUUGGAGAGUGAUACUCACCAAUCUAAAGAUAACUUAGUUCGAGCGACACCUGGUUCAUGACCUUUUUUAAAAACUUACUUCUACCCUUUUACCAGGACUGCAUCAUAGGGAUGUAGGUUGAAACUUUGAGAACCAUAUACUGAGACACGGAGAAAUUUAUAUGUGCAUAUAAAUAAUUAGAAUACAUCUAGAAGCAACCAUCAUCGCUCAAAAACUUGUUCCUCAUCGUGUAACAGCAUCAUACCUCCGAAGAAACAUAACCAACCCACCGGCAAAACACCAAUACUUCAGAUAGACUCAGAUAACAAAGUACUGCAACAAGUGCCUGCUUGUAAAGACACACCGAACCUCAACCCUAAGAGUAACAAACGACAGUUCUGGGAUAAAAGGAAGUGCAAAUCAUCUCAAAUGAUGAACAAGAGACAACACCUGGUGGCAACCUCUGCAGCCACGACAUCUACUGCUUCUACUACCAUUCCUAUUGCUACCCCAAACAAGGCAGUAUGUCGGGAACCUACCCCUAUGCAAGAAGUGCAACUUCCAUCACCUAGGAGUCUGCCGAGUGUUGCACUGCAUGAAUUGCAACAAGAAGGGGCACACUACCCGUUUCUGCAGAAUUCCAAACAAGCACAUCACUUCAACCACCAAUGUUGGGAUCAGUCCAAUAUGUCACCUAUGUGGUGAAAUAGGACAUUUCAAGAGGGACUGUCCAACAAAAGGAAAUGAUAAAGGCGCAGGAGUAGUUUAACCUCGGAUCAUAAAGAAGUGUCGGAGAACCCUCUAGAAAUUUUGGUAUGCUCCCUAACUUUAACAACCAACUAUAAAUACUCCCUCGUUAAAACAAAAUUUGCAGCACAAUUAUAAACCUCAAAAACCCUGUCAGGUAAAGCUAUGAUGGCCUAGUUUAUACGUUAGGGUCAUUGAUAAUUAAGAUUUGUAGAACUCGAGUGAGUGAUGCAGUCUCAUUUCCUGUUCUUAGUUUGGUUGUGGAUUUAGGGCGGAGUCACUCAGUCAACGGUCUUUCCAAUCUUAAUUAUACAUGACAGGUGUAUACAAGGCGGCUAUAGAGAGGCCUUGUGGGAAUCAUUCCCCUAGAAGUACAUUACUCAAAAUCAUCAGGGCUCUCAAAUUGUUAGCGCUCGUUAUUUUCGAUUCUAAAAAUCACGGUGGUAAUACCAUGCGACGAAACCGGGAGCACUGAAUUCUUAUGUGCUUGAUAUAACACAUCUUCCUGAUAAUCAUUUCUUCCAUAUCGACUCGAUAUCUAUUAUAUCGAGAAAUUUUGACAUCAUCAUCUGUCAUGGUUUGGCACUCACUAUGUAAAAUGUCUGUGCUGAAAAGAACUUUCAUUCUAAUUAAUGUCAAAUAAAAUUCUUCCAGUUAAUAAUGGCAAACCUAUUACAACUCAUUAUGUCGCCUCUCACAUCAAAACUUCAGAAGUACCCGAGUGAGGGGUACCACGUCUUGUUAGGCUACCCAAUAGUCCAUGGAUUACGAAUUUGAAAUUCGUUAUCAUCCCGGUUAAGCCAAUCUAGUAGCUAACACCCUUAGUCGGGAGGAGUAACUCAGAUCAUAGAGUCAAACCAUCACUAUGACCAUCCAUUCGCAUCUGUCCAUAUGAAUAAAGAUGGCUCAGCAGGAAGCCUAGAAACCUAGAAUUUUGUCAGGUGAAACUCGGAGAAGGAUGGAAAAGAACUUAGAAGUCACAGGUGCGAUCAUACCAACACUAGUGCACCGGAUACCAUCAGAACUCUGUCAUUAAGCGUGCAUGGACAACGGAGCCUUAUACCACAUAGAUUUGAUCUAGACACCAAAGUUUUGUGACGUCAGAGACAUGGUCAUUAAUGAAGCUCACGAUACUCAACACUCCGUUCAUCCAGAUUCAGACGAGAAGUGUCUAGACCUCAAAAAGUUGUAGUAGUGGCUUGGCAUGAGAGCAAAAGUAUUGUUGCCUUAUAGGUAAGGGUAUUACGCACAUCAAGGUUAAGGUCAGAAUACUAAAACCCACAGAAUUACCACCACGGUCGAAGACACCUGAGUAGAAGAGGCUGCAGAUUGUGUUGUGCUUCAUAAUCCAGUUACCCAAGGCAUCAGGUUGACACAAUAGACAAGCUAGUGGAACAUGUUUUCGAAAGAUUAGUUAGACUGCUCGGUGUUCAAAUGUCUGUUAUCUCUGUUAGAGAUAGUAGAAUCACCUCCCGAAAUUGUCAGUCACUUCAGAAAAUCUCUGCGGGCUAGGCUAGUCAGGAGCAUAGCCUACCAUCAAGGAAACGACAAACGGAAGAAAAGAACGAUUCGACCAAUAGGGAUUAUGCUGAGAAUGCAUUUAACUGACUUUGCUAAAGUUUGGGAUACCCAAAUUGCCAAACUAGUCAAGUUCUUUACCACCCCGUCAUUUGAAGUUGCUCCAUUCGAAAACCCUCAUUGGUCGUAAGUGCAAAUCCCCUCUGUACUGGACUAAGGUAGGUACCACGCUACUAGUUAGAUGUCAAAUUCCAGACAACACCUUCGCUGAUCUAUAAACCCUUCAAGAAACUACCAAGUAGAAAGUGCAAAUCCGAAAACGACCUAGAACUUCUAGAACCAAUCAGAAAGGCUACGUCUUCAGUAAGAGAAAACCUUUGGAAACUCCAGGAUGGUGAUCACAUCAAGUGAUGGUCUCACCCUGGAAGGAAAUUAUGUUUUAGAUAAUGAGCAUGCUAAAUCCAAGGUACUUAGGACCAUUUGAGAUUCUCGAUAGAAUUGGUCCGACAGCUUACAGGUCCCGACUACUGAGGGAAUUCAAUAAAUUUCACUCUACCCUCCCAUGUCUAUAAAAUUGAAAAAGUGUUUAUCCGGCGAAACUUUUAUUAUCCCACUUGAUUAGGUCGAUGUAAGCUAAAGCCUUGUCUUGGUAAAGAAAUCUAUAAAAAUCCAGUUCAGUAAAAGGAGCCCUUGGAAACCCUAUCCAGUGGAGUCCAACGAACGAAAAUGAAACCGUACCCCUUGGUGAAAGUCUACGAAAGCGUAUAACGAGGACUUGAUCCCCCUAGAGAUCAAGUGGAUCAGAUGGAACAUGAGUAUCCGUACCUUUCACCUCAUCCAUGUAUAUUCCUUAGAACUAAAUUUCGGGAUGAAAUUCCCUUUAACGAGGGGAUGAUGUGAUAACCCGAAAUUUCUAUCUUGUACAACCAUUCAAUUCAAUCAAAGUCAGACUUUUUUCUGCUAUCUUUUAUCAUUGUUUAGGGUCUGUUUGAGUGUUCUAAGUCUAGUGCAUUCAAGGUUUGGGUUUAGGGAAGAGUUAGCUUAAGUUCAUAGCAAAGCAUUCAGGNUUCAAGAGGAGUGUACAGCCAUACACAUGGGUGUACCACCAUACACCCUUCAUGGCCGUGAACUCAUACCCUUAACAAUGAUUUCUUUCAGUUUUCUUCAUUUCCUCACAUUCCCAACGCAAGAACCCGAUUCUCUCUCAGCUAUCAUCAACUUUUCACCCUGAUCUUCAAAAUUAUAAGUAUUCCUUCCAUUGAUUAGUUGAUACAUGUCUUUAACUAGUGAAGAUCCAUGUUUUCAUCCGUGAAACUUCCUAUUUUGGUUAGAUCUUCAAGUUUCACCAAGAACACCUACUAGUUCUUGGGUCGUGAACUCCUUAGAAGCCUUCAAAAGUGUGAGUAUCUCUUCUAUAUUCUAUUAGAGCAUAAGAAACACUUGAUUCCUAGCCUAAAUCAUCAUCUAAUGCAUGAACAUCAAGGGUGUACGGUCGUACACACCUCAUGUAGUCGUAAACCCUUAUUUAGUGCGUGAUUAGGCCUCAAACUCAUCUCAUGUCCCAACAUAGGAUCAUGAACACUUAGUGGAUGCUAGUUAGAGCUAUAAAAAAACUCUAGUCUUUCCAUGAGUGUAUGGUCGUACACCCCAUGACCAUACACUCAUGUGGCCGUACACCACUUAGACCGUAUACACCUUGGCUGUACACACUCUUGGGUGGCCGUAAACCCCUUUGAUACAAUCAAAUGUGAUUGUAACACAUCAAUAUAAGUGUUUAUUAGUCCCUAGGAUUGUUUCCCUUCAUGAUUAGUUGUUAUAUACACUAAUUACAUAGAUAUAUGUGUCAUUAUAUGCUUAAUAGGAUCCGUUUGUGCUCAAGACUUCCCUUGGCAUACCCAUCAUUUCAUAUCACGUCCUCAAGCAAAUCAUCCUCCUAAGGUGAGUUCAUACCCCUACAAUCAAUCUUUUAACUGUUUUAAAUGCUUUUUAGGGGGGAUACAAGUUUAACACAAUUAUAAAUUAUGUUAGUAUGAACAUUUGUACACUGUUAAUAUUUCAAACUGUCAUAAACUACUUUUAAACAUUGACGUUUCUUUUAAACUCUUUAAAGCUCUCUUAUUUUCAAAACAAUAUUCAUGCAUAUAUUAGUGUAUAAACAUAGUUUAGUGGACUUAGGACUAGUGUUAAUAACCUUGACUCCUGUUCCUAGUUUGGUUGUGGGCAUAGGGUAGGAUUCACUAGUACGAGUGUCGAUUAAAAUAUGUUUACAUGCCAAAUGCAUACAUGAAUAUUAAAGCUUACUUUCAAGUUAUUCAAGUUAGAUACGAAACAAACAUACUAGUAAACGAUAAUAGGUAUAGUUUAGAGAACAUAUACAUAUACAAGUACAGAGAAUAGGGCUUAGAUAAUGAGUUUGCUCUUCAAGAGUAAACUCCUUAGGGAGUUUACGGCCCUAAGACCAUGUCCACAUGAUUUCACGGCCGUGAACUCAUGGAUGAUGGGUUUUAAGGUGCUCAAGGGUCAAAUAUCACAUGGGAAAUGUUGCUAGGAUUUAAUCUAAGGCAUAGGAAUGGAUUUAACCACCAAAGAGACCAUCAAAGGGAGUUUACGGACGUGAACUAGGAGUUUACGGUCGUAAGCUCCUAAUUACCGUUUCUUUUCAUGAUUUGGUGGCCCUAGAUUAAUCAUAUGUGAUUUGAACUUAUUUUAGAAGCCAUAGAAUGGAUUUAGGGCAUCAUUUGGCUAAGGUAUAGGAGUUUAUGGCCCAGAAACCUAUCCUUGGGGGGUUUACGUCCGUAAGCUCCUAUAGGAGUGGUUUUAAUCAAGUUUAAGGCCCCUAAAUCGAUUGUGGUUGUUUCUAGACUUUAAUCCAAGGCUUAGGAGGUGUUUAAAUGACAUUUUAACACCCUAAAAGGAGUUUACUGCCCAUGAUAUGGAGUUUACAGCUCAAGCAUGUUCUUGGGAAGUAAACUCAUGUUUACUCCCCAAAUGUUGAGUUCAAGGUGUUCCAAGUCCAUUCCUUUAAGUCCUUAGGUCAUUUCUAAGCUCCAUAAGUGGUUUGAGAGGGUUUUUAGGCUCCAAAACUCAUUUUAUAUGUGUUCACGGCCCAUGAAUGUUCCAGGGCCGUAAACACAUGUUUAUGGUCCUAAAUCAUACUUUAAACACAGAUUUGGAAGCUGAAAAGAUUGUACUACGAGUUAGGAUGGUUACCUUGAUGAUUUAGGGCUUAAAUUCAAUGAUUUUGGACCAUGAAUUGAGUUGUAGAGAGAGUGUAGUGAGAAAGGGUGCAAAAGCUUCAAAUGGAAGCUUUUUGAAUUUUAUAUAUGGUUCAAGUUUUGGACACGGUGGAAUUCUACCCGAUACUGACGUUAUACGAUGCUUUUGGUCGCAUCCGAUUAAGUUGCCGUAACCUGAUAUGGUUGAGACUAAAAAUUUUCCAAUUAUUAAAUUGGGGCGUUAUCAUGAGUUUCUAAUGUGUUUGGACACUCAUUAAGUCAUAAUAAACGACUCAAUUUAAUGACUUAAUUUAAUAAUGAAACGGAAACAAUUUGAAAACGACGAAUUUAUUAACGGAACGGGUUACAAUGACGGAAAGAAUUUCAGGUUGUCACACAUAUAUUAGUGUCUAAACAUACUUUAGUGGACUUAGGACUAGUGUUAGUAACCUUGACUCCUGUUCAUUGUUUGGUUUUGGGCUUAGGGUAGGAUUCACUAGUUCGAGUGUCGAUUAAAAUACAUUUACAUGCCAAAUGAUACAUGAAUAUUAAAGCUUACUUUCAAGUUAUUCAAGUCAGAUAUGAAACAAACAUACUAGUAAACUAUAAUAGGUAUAGUUUAGAGAGCAUAUACAUAUACAAGUACAGAGAAGAGAACAUAUACAUAUACAUAUACAAGUACAGGGAAGAGAACAUAUACAUAUACAUAGACAUGUACAGAGAAGAGAACAUAUACAUAUUCAUAUACAAGUACAGAGAAGAGAACAUAUACAUAUUCAUAUACAAGUACAGAGAAGAGAACAUAUACAUAUACAUAUACAAGAACAUAAGAGGACAAACUUACAAUAACAUAUACAUAAUAACUAGCAUGUGAGAAACUAAUUCAUGAUAUAGCAAUUCAAUUGUUGUAUCAUGUUUUGUAACCAGAGUCUCCUGGAGGGAGAGCGGGUAUUGUGUGUAAAGAUCUUUACGGGACAGACACUCCAACACCUCGACUGUUAGCUACAGUCACUGCCAACAAGGCCAAGGGGUGACAAAUGUCACAUCGUUUCGUCGCCAGAAGGUCGUCGUGUUUACAACAGUCAAUCAACAUUGUUACAACCAUAUCUUAUUUCACCUUAAUUUAACUAAUUGGGUUAUAAGGAAAUUAGUGCUUCAGCAGUUAUUUUAAACAACUAUGCAGCACACUUCAUUCUUCCAAUACAUUCAGGUCGUGAUAUACUCACAUAGGAAUGCAUACUAUUUUUCGUUUAAGAAAAGUUUUACAAACAUGGAAAACCACAUUUAUACUAUUAUAUGUACAAACACACAUUUUACUUCAUUAUUGAAGAGAAACAAACAUAACAAACCAGUUGAGUCUUGGUAGGAGACUACUUUCCAUUUUAGUAGAAAAUAUAAGAUUUUCUAGGUUGUAAACAAACAUUUACAUCAAAACAUUUCAAUCGUUUUCAAUAAAGAUAAGCAACCUUCAUUAAAUACUUAUGAACUCACCAACAUUAUAUGUUGAUCCUCUCUUUCAAAAUAACUUGUAUUCUCAGAAAUCCGGUAGACAGGUACACUCCCGGAGCUUUUGCGAAGACAGCCUAGUACCGAUAUGCAUUCUUUGUUUUAUUAGUAUAUCUACUUUUGAUGUUGAGCACUUGAUGUUUGAACUAUGUAAAAACUUAUACAUUAUUAAUGCAAUGGUUGUUGUACUUUGCUUACUAUACUACAUGUGUUGUGAUACUUGACAUGAUGUCCUACACCCCCGAAUGUUUCCGCCAAUUCGGUUUGGGGGUGUGACAGUUACCAAGCACAACCCAACCAUUGAGCCGAAACCACCUUCUAUCCUACUAGUAAUCACUAAUCCAUCACCUUUUAGGCUUUCAUAAUGCAUGCAUGGAUCAUCCCCUCCCAUUUUCAAAGGAUAUGACCUCAAUUAAUCAAGGCCAUCCUCAACAGGAUACGAUGAAAGGUUUC
rnacentral:lncRNA from 1 species